GGAUUUUCAAAAUCCGUCUCUAAUUUAGGGACGGAUUUUUAGAAUCCGUCUCUAAUUUAGGGACGGAUUUUUAGAAUCCGUCUCUAAAUUUAGAGACGGAUUCUAAAAAUCCGUCCCUAAAUUAGAGACGGAUUCUAAAAAUCCGUCCCUAAAUUAGAGACGGAUUUUGAAAAUCC
rnacentral:pre_miRNA from 1 species